UUGAACCUCGGAUCAGGUAGGAAUACCC
rnacentral:rRNA from 1 species